GGGGUUGUGGCUCGGAGGUAGAGCGCUCGCCUAGCAUGUGUGAAGCACUGGGUUCGAUCCUCAGCACCACA
rnacentral:tRNA from 1 species